rnacentral:piRNA from 1 species
UCGAAUAAUUGUGAGUUCGAC